rnacentral:rRNA from 1 species
AGAGUUAAACAGUACGUGAAAUUGUUGAAAGGGAAACGAUUGAAGCCAGUCGUACCGACGGGAAAUCAACUUCUCGAGUGCUUGUCGUGGGUGGCGUGGAGCCUUACGGCCUUCGUUGCUUGCGUUAUGGUGCUUUUGGGGUGUACUUUUCCGUAUGUAGGUCAACAUCGAUUUUGAUCGUCAUAAAAUGACGGGGGGAACGUAGUUUCGAUCUCGUAUCGAAGUGUUAUAGCCCCUGGUAGAUGUGAUGAUUGGGAUUGAGGAUUGCAGCGAACCCUUCGGGGUCACCCGCCUGAUCUCUGGUGGUUACUCUGGUAUCGAAAGCUUGCUUACGAUCAUCAAAGUUGACUGCCAAAAGGUUAGAACGGGUUGAAUUCGUUAAGGAUGUUGACGUAAUGGCUUUAAACGACC